rnacentral:rRNA from 1 species
AGUGAACGCUGGCGGUAGGCCUAACACAUGCAAGUCGAACGGCAGCACAGGAGAGCUUGCUCUCUGGGUGGCGAGUGGCGGACGGGUGAGGAAUACAUCGGAAUCUACUCUGUCGUGAGGGAUAACGUAAGGAAACUUACGCUAAUACCGCAUACGACCUACGGGUGAAAGCAGGGGAUCUUCGGACCUUGCGCGAUUGAAUGAGCCGAUGUCGGAUUAGCUAGUUGGCGGGGUAUAGGCCCACCAAGGCGACGAUCCGUAGCUGGUCUGAGAGGAUGAUCAGCCACACUGGAACGGAGACACGGUCCAGACUCCUACGGGAGGCAGCAGUGGGGAAUAUUGGACAAUGGGCGCAAGCCUGAUCCAGCCAUACCGCGUGGGUGAAGAAGGCCUUCGGGUUAUAAAGCCCUUUUGUUGGGAAAGAAAUCCAGCUGGCUAAUACCCGGUUGGGAUGACGGUACCCAAAGAAUAAGCACCGGCUAACUUCGUGCCAGCCGCCGCGGUAA